rnacentral:rRNA from 1 species
AUUCCCUCAGUAACGGCGAAGUGAAGCGGUAACAGCUCAAAUUUGAAAUCUGGCAGCAAUGUCCGAGUUGUAAUUUGUAGAGGAUGUUUCGAGCAUGGUCUGGCCUAAGUUCCUUGGAACAGGACGUCAUAGAGGGUGAGAAUCCCGUAUGCGGUCAGGUGCCUACGCUCAUGUGAAACUCCUUCGACGUGUCGAGUUGUUUGGGAAUGCAGCUCAAAAUGGGUGGUAAAUUUCAUCUAAAGCUAAAUAUUGGCCAGAGACCGAUAGCGCACAAGUAGAGUGAUCGAAAGAUGAAAAGCACUUUGGAAAGAGAGUUAAACAGUACGUGAAAUUGUUGAAAGGGAAGCGCUUGCAACCAGACUUGCACGCAGUUAAUCAUCCGCUGUUCUCAGUGGUGCACUUGAUUGCGUUCAGGCCAGCAUCGGUUUUGGUGGUGGGAUAAAGGCCUUAGGAAUGUAGCUGCUUUCGGGCAGUGUUAUAGCCUAGGGUGCAAUGCCGCCUACUGGGACCGAGGACCGCGCUUCGGCUAGGAUGCUGGCGUAAUGGUUGUAAGCGACCCGUCUUGAAACACGGACCAAGGAGUCUAACAUCUAUGCGAGUGUUUGGGUGUCAAACCCAUACGCGUAAUGAAAGUGAACGGAGGUCAGAACCCUUAAGGGUGCAUGAUCGACCGGUCCUGAAGUCUUCGGAUGGAUCUGAGUAAGAGCAUAGCUGUUGGGACCCGAAAGAUGGUGAACUAUGCCUGAAUAGGGUGAAGCCAGAGGAAACUCUGGUGGAGGCUCGCAGCGGUUUCUGACGUGCAAAUCGAUCGUCAAAUUUGGGUAUAGGGGCGAAAGACUAAUCGAACCAUCUAGUAGCUGGCUCUGUG